UGCGGGGCUAGCUCUUGGUUUGUGGUUCCUGGUCAGAGGGGAGAGCUGAAGGGAAGCUUGAGGCACCACAUCCGCCAUUACAGAGUGAUCCUGUCUCCUGACUGGUGAUUCUCUAGUCUCCAUGACCUUUUAUUGAUGAGCCCCAGAUUGUCACUUCACUCCAGGUUCAAUUUACCCUCCAGAUCCCAGCUUCUUAAACCACAGAACAAACCAGGAUAUGACUUUGUAAAUGUUGAAAGGUCAGAAGACCCUUCAAAAAAGUCCACUUAGCAAAUGGAGCUGGUAGCAGCAGUAGCAGAGCCCCUUGAAGAGCCAAUCCUGAGAAGUAAUCAUGUUCAUCAAACCAAGCAGUGAAUCAAUAUGACAUUCAAUAUAUUGUGUCCUACAAGCAAGGGAGCAGACUCAUCUAUCUGCUAUGUCAUGUUCAAAAGUAAA